CCGGCGACCGGCGCACGGUGAGUAACACGUAUGCAACCUGCCCUCCGCAGGGGGAUAACCCGGAGAAAUCCGGACUAAUACCGCGUGGUACAUCUGUGGGGCAUCCCACGGGUGUUAAAAGGAAGCGAUUCCGGCGGAGGAUGGGCAUGCGGCGCAUUAGCUAGUUGGCGGGGUAACGGCCCACCAAGGCGACGAUGCGUAGGGGUUCUGAGAGGAAGGUCCCCCACACUGGUACUGAGACACGGACCAGACUCCUACGGAAGGCAGCAG
rnacentral:rRNA from 1 species